GUGGCUCAGUGGUAGAGUGCUUGCCUUGCAUGCAUGUGGUCCUGGGUUUGAUUCCUCAGC
rnacentral:tRNA from 1 species